GAGACACCCCCUCUGGGGCAAGACUUGCUUCAAUGGGGCUUUGGUGCUCACUGAGUCUGCCCCCUGAGUGUGUCCUU
rfam:Myotis lucifugus cont2.33236, whole genome shotgun sequence.